UACCAGCACCCCGAGUGGUCGGGACGAUUAUUGGGCCUAAAGCAUCCGUAGCCGGUUCUACAAGUCUUCCGUUAAAUCCACCUGCUUAACAGAUGGGCUGCGGAGGAUACUAUAGAGCUAGGAGGCGGGAGAGGCAAGCGGUACUUAGUGGGUAGGGGUAAAAUCCGUUGAUCCAUUGAAGACCACCAGUGGCGAAGGCGGCUUGCCAGAAUGUGCUCGACGGUGAGGGAUGAAAGCUGGGGGAGCAAACCGG
rnacentral:rRNA from 1 species